rnacentral:rRNA from 1 species
GACGAACGCUGGCGGCGUGCUUAACACAUGCAAGUCGAACGGUGAACGAGGGAGCUUGCUCCCUCCGGAUCAGUGGCGAACGGGUGAGUAACACGUGAGCAAUCUGCCCCGAACUCUGGGAUAAGCGUUGGAAACGACGUCUAAUACCGGAUACGACGCGGGAGGGCAUCCUCUCCGCGUGGAAAGAACUUCGGUUCGGGGUGAGCUCGCGCCCUAUCAGCUUGUUGGUGAGGUAACGGCUCACCAAGGCGACGACGGGUAGCCGGCCUGAGAGGGUGACCGGCCACACUGGGACUGAGACACGGCCCAGACUCCUACGGGAGGCAGCAGUGGGGAAUAUUGCACAAUGGGCGCAAGCCUGAUGCAGCAACGCCGCGUGAGGGACGACGGCCUUCGGGUUGUAAACCUCUUUUAGCAGGGAAGAAGCGAAAGUGACGGUACCUGCAGAAAAAGCACCGGCUAACUACGUG